GGUGGGCGAGCAACGGCUCUGGGCGCAGGCGGCGCGCGGCCGGAGUAGGCGGAGCGGCGGCGUCAGCGGUCAAGCGCGGCUGCAGCGGCGAGCGAGCACCGACUCCGGGCGCGGCCGGAGCAGUGCGGCGGGCGAGCGGCCGACGAGGUAGUCGGUGACGGAGAAGAAUACUUCAAUAAGCUUCACUAGCCGCCGCCUCCGGAGACGGAGAGCUCCUCGUCGGAGUUCUAAUCCAACGUAGCUACUGCCUCACAAUUUCAAGCAUAUAUAUAACUACUUGUCUAAACGAUUGAUUAUGUUGUGUUUGAGAAUUAAGAUGGCGGAUCCAGUGAGUAGCAUGAAGCAUAUCACGGAGAUGGCUCUGAAGAUCAAGCAUGCGGUGGAGACGGUCCAGAGAAACAAGGAGGACUGCCUCCAGAUCAGAAGACGAGUGAUGAGACAGGGAGAAUGGGCAAAAGUGGGAGCGGCGGCGAUGGCAUCGGCAUGCGGUAGGAGCAUCGGCGGUCGUGGCGGCGCGUGGUGGGAGCGGCGGCUCCAGGGGGGGAGGGGAACGGCGGCCGUGGCAACGUGCGGUGGGAGAAGCAGUGGCCUAGGCGACGACGGGGAACAUGGGUGACGGUAGGAGCGGGGGAGGAGUCGGCCCGCGGCGGGAGCAGCGGCGGCGUGCGGCGGGAGCAGCGGUGGUCGUGGCGGCGCGUGGCAGGAGUGGCGGCCGCCGCCGCGACGGCGGGAGCGGUAGAGGCGUCAGCGCGCGGUUGGAGCAGGGGAGGCCGCGGCGGCGUGCGGCAACGAAACUGACAUGUGGGCCCCACCUACUUUUUUAUUUAUUUUUGGGACCCAAAUUAAACGGUUUUUUUUAUAGUUUAGGGGUGAAGAUUUCUGGUUUUGUGGUUAAGGGACUAAAAAAAUAUCGCUGUUAAGUUGAGGGACCUCCGAUGAACUUAUUCCACAGAAGAAAGGAGAUUGGAACA